AACGGCUGGCGGCGUGCCUAACACGAUGCAAGUCGAGCGAGGAGAUCCUCGGGAUGAUCCUAGCGGCGACGGGUGAGUAACACGUGGGCAACCUGCCUCAUAGAGAGGAAUAGCCUUCCGAAAGGGAGAUUAAUACCUCAUAACAUUGCAGUUUCGCAUGGAACAGCAAUUAAAGGAGUAAUCCGCUAUGAGAUGGGCCCGCGGCGCAUUAGCUAGUUGGUGAGGUAACGGCUCACCAAGGCGACGAUGCGUAGCCGACCUGAGAGGGUGAUCGGCCACAUUGGGACUGAGACACGGCCCAGACUCCUACGGGAGGCAGCAGUGGGGAAUAUUGCACAAUGGGGGAAACCCUGAUGCCAGCAACGCCGCGUGAGUGAUGACGGCCUUCGGGUUGUAAAGCUCUGUCUUCAGGGACGAUAAUGACGGUACCUGAGGAGGAAGCCACGGCUAACUACGUGCCAGCCGCCGC
rnacentral:rRNA from 1 species